AUUAGGUAUCCAUGACCCAUGAAUUCAUUUUGACAGAUUUUACACAAAUGGAGCCCGACUUCUCUUUCUCUGGCUGUACAUGGCAUAGUCACACUGCUAGGUAAUGACAAUCAUCAACUUCUGACACUGUGGAGCCCAUUUCUGGAUCAUCUGGGCUGUUCCAGUCACUGGGAUUACCUCACACAUGUCCUCAUGCAGAUUGGGAAAGGAAAACGUGGUGAUGUCACUCAAUGACAGUAACAGAAAGGAGAGCAAAGCAGUGUGGCUGGAGAUGGGGCAGAGAUGGAUCCGGUUUCAGAUUCAGGAUAGAGACAGAAGUAAUUGGUGAAGCAUUAUCCCAGAAGAUGAUAGUAACAGAGAUUCAGGUGAAAAGGCUGACCUUGAAUGGGAAAAGGAGCAUCUAAUCCUUGGGGGACAGAGGGAAUGAAGAAGGGAUCGCUACAGAUG